rnacentral:rRNA from 1 species
UACGGAGGAGGCAAGCGUUAUCCGGAAUUAUUGGGCGUAAAGCGUCCGUAGGUGGCACUUCAAGUCUGCGGUGAAAGACCGGGGCUUAACCCUGGAAAGGCCGUGGAAACUGAAGUGCUAGAGUGCAGUAGGGGUAGAGGGAAUUCCCGGUGUAGCGGUGAAAUGCGUAGAGCUCGGGAAGAACAUCGGUGGCGAAAGCGCUCUACUGGACUGCAACUGACACUGAGGGACGAAAGCUAGGGGAGCGAAUGGG